ensembl:misc_RNA Y_RNA Y RNA
GGCUGGUCCCAGUGCAGUGGUGUUUAUAAUUUAUCAAUCAUAGCCAGUUACAGAUUUAUUUAUUCCUUCUCCACUCCCACUGCUUCACUUGACUACCGUUAC